rnacentral:lncRNA from 1 species
AAUUACUGAAAAUAUAGCGGUCUUAAUGGUACCUAACUGCUAUAAUUAUAUUUCCUCUGUUUGAUAAUCUGAAGCAGAUAAUUAUAUUUUAUGAAUUUUAUCACUUUUCAGAUAGAACCGUCGCAUUACCACAGACUACGCAUGCGACAAUCUUAAGUGAUUUUAUUAAUCAUUUAAAUAUUUUAUCUCUAAAUAAAUAAAUAAAUAAAUUGAUUUAUCUUAUAUUUAUAUAUUUUUUUAAUAAUUUAUAAACUUAUUAGUCGACACACUUUAAAAUUUAUUAAAAUAUUUAACUUUUAAUAGAAACUCAAAAUAUAAAAUAUUUAUUACGAUUCUCUCUACGUUUUUCAUCAAAUUAAAUAACUAUAUUUAAUUAAAAUUCAAUUUUAAUUUUUAUAUUUUUAAUGAAAAUGUUUUAAAAAAAUUUAAGGGGCCAUGCUCUUUUAUGAGUAUUUAUUUAUUUAUAAAUGUACUUAUUUAUAUUAUAAAUCUAUAUACAUGUAUAUAUUUAUUUUUUUUUAAUUAGUGGGUGAUUUGAUUCUUCACCGUUCACUAUAGUUGUAACUACAAACAAUUUAAUUACUUUUUUUUUUUUGAGAGAUAGGUAGCACGCUACCCGCUUCGUUUAUUUCAUUUAAAAAUAAACUUAGCUAGAAAUAUUAAUCAACUAGGAUUCGAACUUGGGUCUCGGGUACCAACCACCAAGCCUUUUGCCACUUGCUCUAGGGAUAGUCGGUACAAUUUAAUUACAUUAGUUGGGUGUUUUUGUAUAGUUUCAACUGUAAAAAUCAGUCUCGACUACACCACAACAAACAUAAAAUUUGAGUCUUUAUGCGGCUCCAACUGUAUUGCAACUCCAACUACAUCCAACAAAACCGUCCGUUUAGGGCCUGUUUGUUUCAACGUAAGUAGACUUGGGGUGAAAGUGGACUUUGGGUUGAAGUGGAGUUCGAGUGAAAAUUAAUUCACUUCCACUAUUUGUUGCUAACUGUGAAAGUGCAGUUCUGCGAGUUCUAUUAUUUGUUUGGUACGAAGUAGAUCACGUAAAAAGUGUAGCUCUUCACCACCGAUAUACUUACCUCCGAAGUGAUAUAUCAUUGUCUAUUUUGUAACUUAGUGAAUAAUAAAUUAUAAUAAAUAAAAAUUAAUAUAAUUAUAUAUGUAUAUAAUUAUAUAUAUGUAUAAUUAUAAAAU